CCUACGGGAGGCAGCAGUGAGGAAUAUUGGUCAAUGGGCGCGAGCCUGAACCAGCCAAGUAGCGUGAAGGAUGACUGCCCUACGGGUUGUAAACUUCUUUUAUAAAGGAAUAAAGUGAGGCACGUGUGCCUUUUUGUAUGUACUUUAUGAAUAAGGAUCGGCUAACUCCGUGCCAGCAGCCGCGGUAAUACGGAGGAUCCGAGCGUUAUCCGGAUUUAUUGGGUUUAAAGGGAGCGUAGAUGGGUUGUUAAGUCAGUUGUGAAAGUUUGCGGCUCAACCGUAAAAUUGCAAUUGAUACUGGCAGCCUUGAGUACAGUUGAGGUAGGCGGAAUUCGUGGUGUAGCGGUGAAAUGCUUAGAUAGCACGAAGAACUCCGAUUGCGAAGGCAGCUUACUAAACUGCCACUGACAUUGAUGCUCGAAAGUGUGGGUAUCGAACAGGAUUAGAUACCCUUGUAGUC
rnacentral:rRNA from 1 species